rnacentral:rRNA from 2 species
GUGGGUAGUUUGACUGGGGCGGUCUCCUCCUAAAGAGUAACGGAGGAGCACGAAGGUUGGCUAAUCCUGGUCGGACAUCAGGAGGUUAGUGCAAUGGCAUAAGCCAGCUUGACUGCGAGCGUGACGGCGCGAGCAGGUGCGAAAGCAGGUCAUAGUGAUCCGGUGGUUCUGAAUGGAAGGGCCAUCGCUCAACGGAUAAAAGGUACUCCGGGGAUAACAGGCUGAUACCGCCCAAGAGUUCAUAUCGACGGCGGUGUUUGGCACCUCGAUGUCGGCUCAUCACAUCCUGGGGCUGAAGUAGGUCCCAAGGGUAUGGCUGUUCGCCAUUUAAAGUGGUACGCGAGCUGGGUUUAGAACGUCGUGAGACAGUUCGGUCCCUAUCUGCCGUGGGCGCUGGAGAACUGAGGGGGGCUGCUCCUAGUACGAGAGGACCGGAGUGGACGCAUCACUGGUGUUCGGGUUGUCAUGCCAAUGGCACUGCCCGGUAGCUAAAUGCGGAAGAGAUAAGUGCUGAAAGCAUCUAAGCACGAAACUUGCCCCGAGAUGAGUUCUCCCUGAGACUUUAGGUCUCCUGAAGGAACGUUGAAGACGACGACGUUGAUAGGC